GGAAAAGAAAAAGUAAAGGACUAAAUUGUAAAGUUUAGUCACAUUUUGUAUCGAGUACUUAUCUAGCCACUCGGGGAUCGAAGGAAACGUCGGAGGCCGAUCACACUAUCAAAGAAAUAACUCGGUAUAAUUAGACGUUUUGUUUUGUGUAUGGCAUGUAUAGAAACUUAGCCACUUUUGGUAUAAUAUGAACAAUGAAUGAUGUGUAAAUACUUGCUAGUGAUUAGCUAAUAAAAA